AGAGAGUGGGCCGGUUUUAGGGAUUUAUUGGUUUUACUGUUUUAUCCCUUGAUUUUUUCCAUGUAUAUAUAUCUGAAAUUAGUCUCUUUCCCUUGAUUUUUUCGUCCAUUCUCUUUCCUUAUUUUUCGUCCAUUUUCUUUCCUUUUUUUUCGGCUAAUUUGUUUCUAAUUUUCACAAAAUCUUCCAUUUUGUUUCCUUAAUUUUUGAAGACUUUGUUUCCUUAUUUUUAUGUUUUUAUUUCAGAAAAUUUUAUAAAUUAUAUAAUUCGAAUAUUUUUUUUUCGGUUUUGUUAUUGAUUUAUUUGUUUUUAAAUUUUAUUAUUGAUUUGUUACCAAUAAUUUAGUGUUUCUUGUUAUAAUAAUUCUAGAUUUGUUUCCGAAUAUUUUUUUUUCUAAAUUAAUAUUAUUUAUUUAUUUUUCAAAAAUUAUUACUCCUAAAUUUUGUGUUUAUUUGUUUUUUAUUAAUUUGUUUCAACUGAUUUUGUGUUUCUCCUUAAAAAAAUAAGUACUAGAUUUGUUUUCGGAUAUUAUUUUUUAAUUUUUUGAAAAUUAGAUUUUUU
rnacentral:lncRNA from 1 species